rnacentral:rRNA from 1 species
UACGGAGGGCGCGAGCGUUAAUCGGAAUUACUGGGCGUAAAGCGCGCGUGGGCUGUUGUGUAAGUUGGGGGUGAAAUCCCACGGCUCAACCGUGGAACAGCCCUUGAUACUGCGCGACUUGAAUCCGGGAGAGGGUGGCGGAAUUCCAGGUGUAGGAGUGAAAUCCGUAGAUAUCUGGAGGAGCAUCAGUGGCGAAGGCGGCCACCUGGACCGGUAUUGACGCUGAGGCGCGAAAGCGUGGGGAGCAAACAGG